GCUUUUGUACACACCGCCCGUCGCUACUACCGAUUGAAUGAUUUAGUGAGGUCUUCGGACUGGUACGCGGCAUCGACUCUGUCGUUGGCGAUGCUACCGGAAAGAUGACCAAACUUGAUCAUUUAGAGGAAGUAAAAGUCGUAACAAGGUUUCCGUAGGUGAACCUGCGGAAGGAUCAUUA
rnacentral:rRNA from 1 species